rnacentral:rRNA from 1 species
GGUUAAGCGACUAAGCGUACACGGUGGAUGCCCUGGCAGUCAGAGGCGAUGAAGGACGUGCUAAUCUGCGAUAAGCGUCGGUAAGGUGAUAUGAACCGUUAUAACCGGCGAUUUCCGAAUGGGGAAACCCAGUGUGUUUCGACACACUAUCAUUAACUGAAUCCAUAGGUUAAUGAGGCGAACCGGGGGAACUGAAACAUCUAAGUACCCCGAGGAAAAGAAAUCAACCGAGAUUCCCCCAGUAGCGGCGAGCGAACGGGGAGCAGCCCAGAGCCUGAAUCAGUGUGUGUGUUAGUGGAAGCGUCUGGAAAGGCGCGCGAUACAGGGUGACAGCCCCGUACACAAAAAUGCACAUGCUGUGAGCUCGAUGAGUAGGGCGGGACACGUGGUAUCCUGUCUGAAUAUGGGGGGACCAUCCUCCAAGGCUAAAUACUCCUGACUGACCGAUAGUGAACCAGUACCGUGAGGGAAAGGCGAAAAGAACCCCGGCGAGGGGAGUGAAAAAGAACCUGAAACCGUGUACGUACAAGCAGUGGGAGCACGCUUCGGCGUGUGACUGCGUACCUUUUGUAUAAUGGGUCAGCGACUUAUAUUCUGUAGCAAGGUUAACCGAAUAGGGGAGCCGAAGGGAAACCGAGUCUUAACUGGGCGUUAAGUUGCAGGGUAUAGACCCGAAACCCGGUGAUCUAGCCAUGGGCAGGUUGAAGGUUGGGUAACACUAACUGGAGGACCGAACCGACUAAUGUUGAAAAAUUAGCGGAUGACUUGUGGCUGGGGGUGAAAGGCCAAUCAAACCGGGAGAUAGCUGGUUCUCCCCGAAAGCUAUUUAGGUAGCGCCUCGUGAAUUCAUCUCCGGGGGUAGAGCACUGUUUCGGCAAGGGGGUCAUCCCGACUUACCAACCCGAUGCAAACUGCGAAUACCGGAGAAUGUUAUCACGGGAGACACACGGCGGGUGCUAACGUCCGUCGUGAAGAGGGAAACAACCCAGACCGCCAGCUAAGGUCCCAAAGUCAUGGUUAAGUGGGAAACGAUGUGGGAAGGCCCAGACAGCCAGGAUGUUGGCUUAGAAGCAGCCAUCAUUUAAAGAAAGCGUAAUAGCUCACUGGUCGAGUCGGCCUGCGCGGAAGAUGUAACGGGGCUAAACCAUGCACCGAAGCUGCGGCAGCGACGCUUAUGCGUUGUUGGGUAGGGGAGCGUUCUGUAAGCCUGUGAAGGUGUGCUGUGAGGCAUGCUGGAGGUAUCAGAAGUGCGAAUGCUGACAUAAGUAACGAUAAAGCGGGUGAAAAGCCCGCUCGCCGGAAGACCAAGGGUUCCUGUCCAACGUUAAUCGGGGCAGGGUGAGUCGACCCCUAAGGCGAGGCCGAAAGGCGUAGUCGAUGGGAAACAGGUUAAUAUUCCUGUACUUGGUGUUACUGCGAAGGGGGGACGGAGAAGGCUAUGUUGGCCGGGCGACGGUUGUCCCGGUUUAAGCGUGUAGGCUGGUUUUCCAGGCAAAUCCGGAAAAUCAAGGCUGAGGCGUGAUGACGAGGCACUACGGUGCUGAAGCAACAAAUGCCCUGCUUCCAGGAAAAGCCUCUAAGCAUCAGGUAACAUCAAAUCGUACCCCAAACCGACACAGGUGGUCAGGUAGAGAAUACCAAGGCGCUUGAGAGAACUCGGGUGAAGGAACUAGGCAAAAUGGUGCCGUAACUUCGGGAGAAGGCACGCUGAUAUGUAGGUGAAGCGACUUGCUCGUGGAGCUGAAAUCAGUCGAAGAUACCAGCUGGCUGCAACUGUUUAUUAAAAACACAGCACUGUGCAAACACGAAAGUGGACGUAUACGGUGUGACGCCUGCCCGGUGCCGGAAGGUUAAUUGAUGGGGUUAGCGGUAACGCGAAGCUCUUGAUCGAAGCCCCGGUAAACGGCGGCCGUAACUAUAACGGUCCUAAGGUAGCGAAAUUCCUUGUCGGGUAAGUUCCGACCUGCACGAAUGGCGUAAUGAUGGCCAGGCUGUCUCCACCCGAGACUCAGUGAAAUUGAACUCGCUGUGAAGAUGCAGUGUACCCGCGGCAAGACGGAAAGACCCCGUGAACCUUUACUAUAGCUUGACACUGAACAUUGAGCCUUGAUGUGUAGGAUAGGUGGGAGGCUUAGAAGUGUGGACGCCAGUCUGCAUGGAGCCGACCUUGAAAUACCACCCUUUAAUGUUUGAUGUUCUAACGUUGACCCGUAAUCCGGGUUGCGGACAGUGUCUGGUGGGUAGUUUGACUGGGGCGGUCUCCUCCUAAAGAGUAACGGAGGAGCACGAAGGUUGGCUAAUCCUGGUCGGACAUCAGGAGGUUAGUGCAAUGGCAUAAGCCAGCUUGACUGCGAGCGUGACGGCGCGAGCAGGUGCGAAAGCAGGUCAUAGUGAUCCGGUGGUUCUGAAUGGAAGGGCCAUCGCUCAACGGAUAAAAGGUACUCCGGGGAUAACAGGCUGAUACCGCCCAAGAGUUCAUAUCGACGGCGGUGUUUGGCACCUCGAUGUCGGCUCAUCACAUCCUGGGGCUGAAGUAGGUCCCAAGGGUAUGGCUGUUCGCCAUUUAAAGUGGUACGCGAGCUGGGUUUAGAACGUCGUGAGACAGUUCGGUCCCUAUCUGCCGUGGGCGCUGGAGAACUGAGGGGGGCUGCUCCUAGUACGAGAGGACCGGAGUGGACGCAUCACUGGUGUUCGGGUUGUCAUGCCAAUGGCACUGCCCGGUAGCUAAAUGCGGAAGAGAUAAGUGCUGAAAGCAUCUAAGCACGAAACUUGCCCCGAGAUGAGUUCUCCCUGACCCUUUAAGGGUCCUGAAGGAACGUUGAAGACGACGACGUUGAUAGGCCGGGUGUGUAAGCGCAGCGAUGCGUUGAGCUAACCGGUACUAAUGAACCGUGAGGCUUAACCUU